rnacentral:tRNA from 1 species
GCCUCCGUGGCUUAGCGGUACUUUACAUAAGCAAAGGCUUGUGCAAAGCACUAGAUAGCGCGGCAUUGGUAAUGCCGAGGUCCCGAGUUCAAUUCUCGGCGGAGGCU